UAACAAGCUACCAGGCAUGAUUUGAGAACAGAAAAACCACAGAAAAUUAAAGCUCCUUAGAAUGGCUGAAUGUAAUAUUUAGCCUGUUAAAACACACAACACGCAACAGACCAGAUGCUCAUCUAGGGAAGCUUGAGGUCAGACUAUGAAUUGCAUCAAAUUACACUAAUUUACACCUGCUGAGGAUCUAUCUUGAAAUUAAUUUGCCCUCAGAACAUUCUUGUUCAUAUUAAACCUUUUCAUUUUGGUAAAUAGAAUCACUUACUAAAAUGGAUAAAUAAUUCGUUCAAAGUGACACACUGAGAAAUGUCCUUGAAGAGACCUGCACCUAGACCAACACUCAGGUGCUUCCAACCAUUCUUAUUCACUGGGUACUGUGAUGAUGGGAAAGAAGAAUCCUUCACACCAAACUGAAUCUAAGGAUAAGUUGAUCUUCUCUUUGACCAGCCAUAAGGGGCAGAAGAGAGGAACAUCCUGUCAAGAUAAACAGGAGGCUUGGCUGCACAGACAGACCCAGGAGAAAUCCUGCUUUUGGAAAUUGCAUUGUGUACUCAGGCUUUGA
rnacentral:lncRNA from 1 species